UACGUAGGGUGCAAGCGUUAAUCGGAAUUACUGGGCGUAAAGCGUGCGCAGGCGGUUUUGUAAGACCGAGGUGAAAUCCCCGGGCUUAACCUGGGAACUGCCUUUGUGACUGCAAGGCUUGAGUGCGGCAGAGGGGGAUGGAAUUCCGCGUGUAGCAGUGAAAUGCGUAGAUAUGCGGAGGAACACCGAUGGCGAAGGCAAUCCCCUGGGCCGGCACUGACGCUCAUGCACGAAAGCGUGGGGAGCAAACAGG
rnacentral:rRNA from 1 species